CAAUUAAUAUUAGUUCUAGCUUCCAAAAGUUCUAAGAUAAGGCACUGAAAAACAGAGGAAGAAAUAGGAAAAGAAAUCCACUGCUUUGUGACACAGAGUUAAAACAAAGGAGUCCGUGUUGACAACCGGGAGGGAGGACUUGCUGUUAAGUUGUUGUUGUUGUUGUUGUUGUUUACUUGUGUUCUAAUAGCAUGUGUUGACAUCCUUUGGCAAAGGGAUGCUGUCAUUUUCCUUUUACAGGAAAAUAAACUAUCGAAAGACAUCAAAUAGCGACUGAGGAAUAAAACCGAAUGAACACCCCUCGUUGACCUGCUUCAUGCCGCAGUUGGCUGUGUGUUUGUAUGUUUGUGUAUGAGUCAGGCGCUUGCUGCUGCGGCGACAGUAACCGCAUGACAACAGGAAUUCCUUCCUGCUUUAGUCUUGAUGUAAUCCCUAUACUAAUACAGGAUUGCAGAACAGAACACUGGUCGGGGAAACGACCACAUCCCAGCUGGCCGGCUGGCUGAAACAAACAGUAACACACACCCACAGGCCUCCCAUCAGCUUCAUGGCUCGGACACUUCUCUGUGGAGAGAUUCAGCUUAUGUAGACUUAGGUUAGGCUCAGAUGAGGUUAUAUGGACUUAAGCUCAGUUGAGGUUAUAUAGAAUUAGGUUAGGCUGAGAUGAGGUUAUAUAGAAUUAGGUUAGGCUAAGAUGAGGUUAUAUAGAAUUAGGUUAGGCUCAGAUGAGGUUAUAUGGACUUAAGCUCAGUUGAGGUUAUAUAGAAUUAGGUUAGGCUGAGAUGAGGUUAUAUAGAAUUAGGUUAGGCUGAGAUGAGGUUAUAUGGACUUAAGCUCAGAUGAGGUUAUAUAGAAUUAGGUUAGGCUCAGAUGAGGUUAUAUGGACUUAAGCUCAGAUGAGGUUAUAUAGAAUUAGGUUAGGCUCAGAUGAGGUUAUAUAGAAUUAGGUUAGGCUCAGAUGAGGUUAUAUAGAAUUAGGUUAGGCUGAGAUGAGGUUAUAUAGAAUUAGGUUAGGCUGAGAUGAGGUUAUAUAGAAUUAGGUUAGGCUGAGAUGAGGUUAUAUAGAAUUAGGUUAGGCUGAGAUGAGGUUAUAUAGAAUUAGGUUAGGCUGAGAUGAGGUUAUAUAGAAUUAGGUUAGGCUGAGAUGAGGUUAUAUAGAAUUAGGUUAGGCUGAGAUGAGGUUAUAUAGAAUUAGGUUAGGCUGAGAUGAGGUUAUAUAGAAUUAGGUUAGGCUGAGAUGAGGUUAUAUAGAAUUAGGUUAGGCUGAGAUGAGGUUAUAUAGAAUUAGGUUAGGCUCAGAUGAGGUUAUAUAGAAUUAGGUUAGGCUGAGAUGAGGUUAUAUAGAAUUAGGUUAGGCUGAGAUGAGGUUAUAUAGAAUUAGGUUAGGCUGAGAUGAGGUUAUAUAGAAUUAGGUUAGGCUGAGAUGAGGUUAUAUAGAAUUAGGUUAGGCUGAGAUGAGGUUAUAUAGAAUUAGGUUAGGCUGAGAUGAGGUUAUAUAGAAUUAGGUUAGGCUGAGAUGAGGUUAUAUAGAAUUAGGUUAGGCUGAGAUGAGGUUAUAUAGAAUUAGGUUAGGCUGAGAUGAGGUUAUAUAGAAUUAGGUUAGGCUGAGAUGAGGUUAUAUAGAAUUAGGUUAGGCUGAGAUGAGGUUAUAUAGAAUUAGGUUAGGCUCAGUUGAGGUUAUAUAGAAUUAGGUUAU